rnacentral:rRNA from 1 species
AUUGAACGCUGGCGGCAGGCCUAACACAUGCAAGUCGAGCGGAUGAAGGGAGCUUGCUCCUGGAUUCAGCGGCGGACGGGUGAGUAAUGCCUAGGAAUCUGCCUGGUAGUGGGGGAUAACGUCCGGAAACGGGCGCUAAUACCGCAUACGUCCUGAGGGAGAAAGUGGGGGAUCUUCGGACCUCACGCUACCAGAUGAGCCUAGGUCGGAUUAGCUAGUUGGUGGGGUAAAGGCCUACCAAGGCGACGAUCCGUAACUGGUCUGAGAGGAUGAUCAGUCACACUGGAACUGAGACACGGUCCAGACUCCUACGGGAGGCAGCAGUGGGGAAGAUUGGACGAUGGGCGGAAGCCUGAUCCAGCCAUGCCGCGUGUGUGAAGAAGGUCUUCGGAUUGUAAAGCACUUUAAGUUGGGAGGAAGGGCAGUAAGUUAAUACCUUGCUGUUUUGACGUUACCAACAGAAUAAGCACCGGCUAACUUCGUG